CAGGCAUUUAAAGUGUUUUCAAUGUAAAUCUAUGUAAAUACAUUCUGCUCAAUGCACGUUCCCAAUGGGAGUACACCCAUGUCCCCAUGUGUGCACUCUUCAGAUGAUUCCUAAGACCUUAAGCCAGUCGCCCUUUAAGCCGGGAUAUUGUGAUUUUGAUGCUUGUACCACCACGAAAGAUUAAUGUCC